rnacentral:rRNA from 1 species
GUGCCAGCAGCCGCGGUAAUACGGAGGUCCCAAGCGUUGUUCGGAAUUACUGGGCGUAAAGGGAGCGCAGGCGGACAGGUCAGUCUAAAGUGGAAUCCCGGGGCUCAACCUCGGAACUGCUUCGGAUACUGCCUGUCUUGAGUUCGUGAGAGGAAAGCGGAAUUCAGGGUGUAGCGGUGAAAUGCUUAGAUAUCCUGAGGAACACCGAUGGCGAAAGCAGCUUUCUGGCGCGAUACUGACGCUGAGGCUCGAAAGCGUGGGGAGCGAACGGGAUUAGAUACCCCUGUAGUCC